CUCUCUCUCUCAAAUCCAAUCCUCAUCUUUGUCCCCAAGUCGGAAUCUGAGCAUCUCCUCUCUGCCGAUGCCGCGAUGCAAGAACCAUCGGAGAGAAGACAGAGUGGGGUGAUUCAAUCGAGUUCGACGGGGGUGGUGUGAAAGGCCUUUAUUUGGGUAGAAAUUCAACGACUUAGUAUUGAAUCUGGAGUGAGGAUGUCUGUGUUGCAGAGCCUUUGAUGGGAGAAAAAAUUCAACGCCUUGGACUGAAUCUUGGUGAUUUUUUUUUCCCUCUUUUAAUAAUUUUUAAUAUUUUAAUAUUUUAAUAUUUUCUCUUAAUUUCAUCACAGCAUCAGACCCACUGUGAUCCUUUCUCCAUCAAACCCAUGUAAUUUUCGUUUUAUGGAGGAUUUGUUUUCUUCCAUGUAUGAGGUUAUGGAUUUGUGCUUCAAAAUAAGGUAUGAAAUUUUGAACAAUCAGGUUGUUGAUUUUCUUUAAAGUCUUGGAUUCUUGAAUUUUCUUCCUACUUUUUUUUUUUUUCAAUUUGAGAUUUGUUUUAUUACUCAAGAACUCUGGUCAUGAUGAAUCCAAUUGGAGUUUUCGGGCUUGUUAGUGGAGAACUGAGGUUGACAUCAAAAGAGAAAGAUGAGUUCUUUAACUGAGAAACCUCAUAACUGGUUUUGGUUUUGGCUAUAUUAUUUCUUAUGUGCAAUUGCAUAUAGUUUUUGUGCAAUUGCAUACAGUUUAUGCAAUUUUUGAGCCCCUGUAUGCAAUUAGCGAUAGUGUGAUGUUUAAAGAAACGUUUGACUUGAAUGCUAUGUCAUUGAGUUAUUUACCCAUUAACAAUCUAGUAACAAUUGAGGUUUCGUUCGUUGAGUAUGUUGUGUUCAUUUGAUAAAUUUAAAUGUUGGUAUGUUCGGUAAGAAAAAAUAAGAGUUCACGAGAAAGAAGAAGACAUGAUUUUUUUUUUUUUUUUUAAGGUGAAGUGUCUUGGGUUGCCAUUACCAUUUCAAAGACUGUAUUGCUAAAUCUGUAAGUGUAUGGUUUAAAUGUGAUGUUCAUGAUAGAUAUUGGUUGUUGUGAUUGCCGUAACUGCUAUAUUUUGGUUGCUCUGGCUAAGGAUUCAGGAAAAGAGCAGUUAAGACAAGUGCAUUUUUGUUACACUGAAAUAUGUGUUUUGAGAUACCAUCACAGUGUUUGAAUAAUCUCUCUCUACCUCCCUCUCAUUUGCAGAAAGGGGUAUACUCACUUGGACUUUUCAUGCAUACUUGGUGAGAUUCUCACCUUCUUCUGAGAGCCUAAUAUUUAGGGGCUUACAUUUGUGUACUCUACAAGUUAUAAAUUGAGCUAUUUAUUCAUGCGAAUGCAACAGUUGCGU
rnacentral:lncRNA from 1 species